rnacentral:rRNA from 1 species
AGAGUUUGAUCAUGGCUCAGAUUGAACGCUGGCGGCAUGCCUUACACAUGCAAGUCGAACGGCAGCACGGGAGCAAUCCUGGUGGCGAGUGGCGAACGGGUGAGUAAUAUAUCGGAACGUGCCCAGUCGUGGGGGAUAACGCAGCGAAAGCUGUGCUAAUACCGCAUACGAUCUAUGGAUGAAAGCGGGGGACUCGCAAGGGCCUCGCGCGAUUGGAGCGGCCGAUAUCAGAUUAGCUAGUUGGUGGGGUAAAAGCCCACCAAGGCGACGAUCUGUAGCUGGUCUGAGAGGACGACCAGCCACACUGGAACUGAGACACGGUCCAGACUCCUACGGGAGGCAGCAGUGGGGAAUUUUGGACAAUGGGCGAAAGCCUGAUCCAGCAAUGCCGCGUGCAGGAUGAAGGCCUUCGGGUUGUAAACUGCUUUUGUACGGAACGAAACGGUCUCUUCUAAUAAAGGGGGCUAAUGACGGUACCGUAAGAAUAAGCACCGGCUAACUACGUGCCAGCAGCCGCGGUAAUACGUAGGGUGCAAGCGUU